GUAGGUGGCAAGCGUUGUCCGGAAUUAUUGGGCGUAAAGCGCGCGCAGGCGGUUCUUUAAGUCUGAUGUGAAAGCCCAUGGCUCAACCGUGGAGGGUCAUUGGAAACUGGAGAACUUGAGUACAGAAGAGGAAAGCGGAAUUCCACGUGUAGCGGUGAAAUGCGUAGAAAUGUGGAGGAACACCAGUGGCGAAGGCGGCUUUCUGGUCUGUAACUGACGCUGAGGCGCGAAAGCGUGGGGAGCAAACAGGAUUAGAUACCCUGGUAGUCCACGCCGUAAACGAUGAGUGCUAAGUGUUAGGGGGGUUUCCGCCCCCCUUAGUGCUGCAGCUAACGCAUUAAGCACUCCGCCUGGGAGUACGGCCGCAAGGCUG
rnacentral:rRNA from 1 species